UACGGAAUGUGCAAGCGUUAUUCGGAAUCACUGGGCUUAAAGAGUCCGUAGGCGGCAUGUUAGGUGAGGUGUGAAAUCCCCCGGCUCAACCGAGGAAUUGCGCUUCAAACCGGCGUGCUUGAGGAAGAUAGAGGUGGGCGGAACUGAUGGUGGAGCGGUGAAAUGCGUUGAUAUCAUCAGGAACACCGGAGGCGAAGGCGGCCCACUGGGUCUUUUCUGACGCUGAGGGACGAAAGCCAGGGGAGCGAACGGG
rnacentral:rRNA from 1 species